UAACAUUAAAACACUGGUUCUCGUCCACUCAUUGAAGUUAAGCAACAUCAAGGCUGAGCAGUACCUGAAUGAGUGACCAUGUGGGAAUACCAGAUGUGGCAA